UGGAGUGAGUGGGGCAGGGUCUUGGAGAAGGGGCAGGGCAAGGGUGUUUGGGUUUCUGUGAUUAGACAGUUAGCAACUCUAGUUGUCCCUAUUUGGAUUCCAAUAUCCGUCCUCCAUGCCAUCUGCUGCGAACUAGACUGCUUAGUGGUAAGAGGGAUACUAGAGCGGUGUUGACCUGCAUGGCCUAUUAUAGCCUCGGCUGUGAACACAACAGAGACAGAUGACCUUUCCAUAAUGUGGCUUAUAAUAUAGGGACUGGUAGCACACCUUUUGUUUAAGGCUUGUUCAUAUUUGCAUUUAUUGCAAGUCAACUUGAGUUAUUUCAUGUUAGUUUCUUGCAUCCACAGAUUUAUUUGUUGUGAAUCACCUGGCUUUUUAAUGCAUGCCAUUAAACUCAUUUUGAAAUCAGGCUUUUAGGGAUGUGGGAUGAGUUUACCUGCAGCAAAGUAGAUGUGGCUAGAUCCUCAUGACAAAACAACUGAUGCACAUCUGCCAAGUCCUUCUGCUGGUGUCCCACACUGCUUUACUGGCUAUCUGCGCCAUCCUGUCUUUUCAUGUGUAUGCCUUCUGCUGCUCCAGGGUCAUCUUGACCAGAAAUGCUGGUACACAGCCAGGUUCUGCUUUUGUGAUUCCAGCUGUUAGUUGAGUUCACAAACCUGUGACAUAGUCUGAUUAUUUGAGCAGUGAUUUCUCGUGCUUCUGUGUGAACUCAUACUGAGGUCCUGAACUUCAUUAUCCUGUGUGGGAGAGGAGCAUGCACAGGCCCAUCUGAAUCCUAGCUAACAUAAUGCACAAACAUACAAGUGGCUUUCUGAACAAAUAAAGGGGAUACAAGGGGAACCCAAGCCAGUGAGGGAAAGGAGAUCCAGCUGGGUUACAAAAGUGUGAAGGGCAAUAGGACUUCUGGGAUUGCUCGCAGCUUCAAAAUGAGCAGGACUGUGUAUUUGCAAGAGAUCCCCCUACUUGAACUACUGGCUUUUGUGGACACCACCAGUUACAUCCCCACUGAUGUUGACCAGACCAAGAGGAGGACGGUGAUAAAUAAAAUCUCUGAUCUGAUCCACCUGGUGAAUUAUGAUACACAAUCUCAGAGACCCAGGAGCUGGCUGACUCACAGCCAGAGGAACCAACUGGAUCACAGGCAGAGACUCAAAGUGGGGAGGGGACCACUUCCAUAGCUGAACAAGGACAUGGCUGGAACAUCAGGUCCAUGGCUGUCCAGCCUAUAUAGGCGGAAGAGGAGGAGCUCAAGGGAUGACAUAUUCAAAGAACUCAUAGGCACAUUCCAAGAUAGGGAUAAAAAGAUGGAGUGGAGCAAAGGGUUCCUGAAGCAUGACAAAGAGGAGAGAGAAAAGGCCAGGUCCUCAUGAGUACAGUUGCUGGGGCUGAUGGAGAGGCAAACAGCCGCCUGGAAAAUAUGUUAAUUUUAUGAUCAAGGAUCAUGUCACAACUUAUACAUCCCCCAGUAGCCCUCUAUCUCUGAAGUGUCUGCUUUCUGGGGCAUACUAUUCACUGCUACAACAGUGAAACAGAUUCUUUUGUAGGCAUUCUGUGCCACAGCAAAGAAAAUAGUGGACAAUGGGUGAUCCCUUAACUCCCUGACCCACAAGGGAGAUGCUGUUCUACCACCAUCCCACAUCCCAAGGGGCAGAGAACAGCUUUUGGUAGUCUAGGUACGGUCAUUUAUGACCGUGGGUCAGAAACUUGAUUGCAUGCAACCCUUUUAAGAUGGUUGUUCUCUAAUUGCACAUUUUGUAUGGUGAAGGCUAUUUUUAUUAUUCAAACUGUUUAUAUUUGUGUAUUCUUAAUAAAAAUAUAUUGUAUGUCUUUACA